ACCUAGCUGGCUCAGUCAGUAGAGCAUGUGACUCUUAAUCUCAGGGUCAUGAGUUCAAGCCCCACAUUGGGCA
rnacentral:tRNA from 1 species